AUGCACCACAACUAUGGGCCUGAAACAAAAAGACUCCAAAAAUACAGAGAGCCAUUAAUCUGUAUCAGAUUCUUGCGUGCUCUCUCUCUCCCCAUCCAUCAUAUACAUGCAUGUUUUUUAAUACAUCCCCAAGCCCUUUUUUUCAUCUGCCUAUGCAGGUUUUGCAAAGCUGUGGCAGAAAGCCUCAGAAAAGCACUGGAAGGCUGGCUUCUGCUUCAAUCCAUCAUGAGAAGCCAUCAAGAAGAUGUUGCCUUUCUUGUACUGCCAUUAAAAAUGCAAUAUCUGGCUUUAAAAUAUACUGGUCUUUCUGCCUUUCUUUCCCAACCUGGUCUCCUCCCUGUCAGCACUCUCCUGCAAUCUUUUUUUUUUUUUUCUCUGUCUCUCUCUCUCUCUCUCUCACACACACACACACACACACACAAACUCUCACACUCACAUGCUCAAUUAAAAUUUCUGAGGAAGGCAGAAGUGCAAGGGAAGAAGUAGCAGUGGCGUAGAAAGAUGAGCUGACAGAUAAACCUAGAUUUAAGCUCUAACUCCGGGUGAGUUUGGCCAAGCAGCUCUCUUCUCUAGGUUCAGUGUCCAUACCUGGAAAAACAUGAGUGCUACUCCCUGAGUCCCUCACAGCUUUGACAAUAAAUAAUCUUUCUCUUGUGUUGUAGACAACUAAUAUCAUUCUUGAAAUGUCUGGCUAUGAGUUGUAGCCACAGAUCUACCUAUUAAGGUGCUCACAAAGGUCUCGCUCAUAGGAUUAGCGCCGAGGCAUUAGGGGCAUGUUCAUAUCAGCAGGAUAUUCUGAUUUUUUUCCAGACACGCUUGCAAUGGGAUGCAGCUCGAUGUAGGAGAAAUAACAUUGCUUUUGAGUCAAACAGACUUGAGUUUGAAUUUAGGAUGUCACUUCCCAGCUGUGUGACUGCAGGUGAAUCACUUAGCUUCUCUGAUCCCUAGUUUCUUCUACAGUAACAUAGGAAUAAUACCCGUAAUGGAAGGUUGUUAGAAGAGUAAAUGCAAUCAUAUGAAGGUAGAGAGCUUGGCAUGGUGCCUGGUACAUGGCACGGCAGGUACUCAAUACACAGUAGGGUGAUUUUUUUUGCUUCUAAAAAUGAAUACUGGAGACAUACAUGCAUACAUGCAGAAAAGGCACAUAGGACCUAGAGCAGUGAAAACAAUUUAACAUACUAUUUGAAUUGACUGUUGCUGCUCCAUAUGGAGAAUAUUCUAAGACACACACACACACACACACACACACACACACACACACACACACAGUUCAGCUUCUAAAGGCAGUAGCAACCAAUCCUAAUAUCCUUAAGGUAAUACACUUAAAAUGCUGAGUAGAGAUUUUGGCACAUAAGUUCUCAGUAAAUACUAGUUAUACUCAUUUUUAUUUAAAAUCUUUCAGUAUAGUAAAUUCCAGUUUAUUAUAUACCUCUUCCCCAUUCUCCUCUCUGAAGAGGCCUGGUUUUUUGCUUUUUUUUUUUUUGAGACAGACUCUCACUCUUGUCCCCAGGCUGGAGUACAGUGGCGCUAUCUCAGCUCACUGAAACCUCUGGAAGAGGCCUCUUUUUAAGAGGCAACAUGGGGCACAGAAAAUCUCUAUAAGUAGGAGCCACAAGCCAUCAGUCUGAUGCUGAGUUCUUAAUCACAAAAUCAUAGCACUUCAGAGCUUGGCUGGUAGAGAAACUGAAACAGAAACGGUUUACGUGAUUUGACCAAGGUCGUGGAGGAACCCCAGUUCUCACGGAGUACUCCUUAUGUUCUUUGCCCUCGUAAGUUCCAACUAAGUCUAUGAGAAUGAAAAUGCUUGACAAAGUCCCGGUGCUUUCCAAAUGCCAGAGGCCCCUCUCCUGCACCUGCCAGCUCCUACACCAGCCUUGGCAGAGGGCCACGGCCACUGGAGGUAUUUAAGGCUGUCUGCAGCAACCGCACCACUGUCAAAGUAGAGCACUGCUGCCCAAAGCUGGCCUUGGUUUCUGUCAAGGCAUGGAGCACAACACCUGGAAAGGGACUCCAUGGCCCCUCAUGCUGAGCAGGCUGUGCCAGCAUCAAGGCAGAGGGUAGCCCAGUUGGAGCUGCCCAGAGUUAAACACUAGUCUGCCAAACUCUGGCUCUGUGUGCUGGUAUGUGGCCAUGGGGAUGCACAAAAGCUAGAAAGGCCAAAAGAAGGAAAGAAAAACAUCUCUUUUUCUUUCUCUACAUUUAUUCAUUCACUCAUUGCUUAGUCAUUUCCUUAUUCAGUUUUUCUUUUUUACUAUCACGGAGAAAGGGCAUGGCUAAGAUUUCAUUAUUUAGUAAAAGAGACACAAAUAGAGAUACAAAUAGAGAUACAAACCAAUUAUAAUUCAAUAUGGCAAGUGCUCUAAUAGCAAAAUACUGUGGCAAAGGAGAGGGAAGCAUUCAAUUUUCUUGGUUUCCAAAUAUUAACGGAGUAGAGAUUGUGUAAUAAUCAAGGUUUAAUCAGAGAAAUAAAACUGAUAAAUAUAUGUAUAUUCAUAAAUAUAUACAUAUAUGCAUGCAUACAUUCAUGUAUAUAUAAUAUACAUAUAUACACAUAUAUAC
rnacentral:lncRNA from 1 species